UACGGAGGGUGCAAGCGUUAUCCGGAUUCACUGGGUUUAAAGGGUGCGUAGGUGGGCAGGUAAGUCAGUGGUGAAAUCCUGUAGCUUAGCUACAGAACUGCCAUUGAUACUAUUUGUCUUGAAUACCCUGGAGGUGAGCGGAAUAUGUCAUGUAGCGGUGAAAUGCUUAGAUAUGACAUAGAACAUCUAUUGCGAAGGCAGCUCACUACGGGAAUAUUGACGCUGAGGCACGAAAGCGUGGGGAUCAAACAGG
rnacentral:rRNA from 1 species